CAAUUAUACAGCGAAACUGCGAAUGGCUCAUUAUAUAAGUUAUCGUUUAUUUGAUAGUACCUUACUACUUGGAUAACCGUGGUAAUUCUAGAGCUAAUACAUGCUAAAAAUCCCGACUUCGGAAGGGAUGUAUUUAUUAGAUUAAAAACCAAUGCCCUCUGGGCUCUCUGGUGAUUCAUGAUAACUUCUCGAAUCGCAUGGCCUUGCGCCGGCGAUGGUUCAUUCAAAUUUCUUCCCUAUCAACUUUCGAUGUUUGGGUAUUGGCCAAACAUGGUCGCAACGGGUAACGGAGGGUUAGGGCUCGACCCCGGAGAAGGAGCCUGAGAAACGGCUACUACAUCCAAGGAAGGCAGCAGGCGCGCAAAUUACCCAAUCCCGACACGGGGAGGUAGUGACAAUAAAUACUGAUACAGGGCUCUUUCGGGUCUUGUAAUUGGAAUGAGUACAAUUUAAAUCCCUUAACGAGGAACAAUUGGAGGGCAAGUCUGGUGCCAGCAGCCGCGGUAAUUCCAGCUCCAAUAGCGUAUAUUAAAGUUGUUGUGGUUAAAAAGCUCGUAGUUGAACCUUGGGCCUGGCUGGCCGGUCCGCCUCACCGCGUGUACUGGUCCGGCCGGGCCUUUCCCUCUGUGGAACCUCAUGCCCUUCACUGGGCGUGACGGGGAAACAGGACUUUUACUGUGAAAAAAUUAGAGUGCUCCAGGCAGGCCUAUGCUCGAAUACAUUAGCAUGGAAUAAUGAAAUAGGACGUGCGGUUCUAUUUUGUUGGUUUCUAGGACCGCCGUAAUGAUUAAUAGGGACAGUCGGGGGCAUCAGUAUUCAAUUGUCAGAGGUGAAAUUCUUGGAUUUAUUGAAGACUAACUACUGCGAAAGCAUUUGCCAAGGAUGUUUUCAUUAAUCAGGAACGAAAGUUAGGGGAUCGAAGACGAUCAGAUACCGUCGUAGUCUUAACCAUAAACUAUGCCGACUAGGGAUCGGACGAUGUAAAUAAUUGACUCGUUCGGCACCUUACGAGAAAUCAAAGUGUUUGGGC
rnacentral:rRNA from 1 species